GAUUUCUGAUGUGACGCGUCUGUCCCGCCGUGGUUACACGUGUGAGUGACGGAUUUCGUCCGUCUGUCUUGCAUAGUUGUCUAUGAUUCAGCAAUGAGUUGUAGAUCGCUUGCAUCUUUUACUUUGAACAAAUUAGAGUGUUUCAAGCAGGCGUCAAGCCCUGAAUACAUGAGCAUGGAAUAAUCAUCGAGGACUAAGGUUCUGCGUUGGUUGGUUCGAGAACUGUAGUAAUGAUGGAUAGGGAUAGUUGGGGGUGCUAGUAUUCCGAGGCCAGAGGUGAAAUUCUUGGAUUCUCGGAAGACUCACUUAGGCGAAAGCAUU
rnacentral:rRNA from 1 species